AUUGAACGCUGGCGGCAGGCCUAACACAUGCAAGUCGAGCGAGCGGCGGACGGGUGAGUAAUGUCUGGGAAACUGCCUGAUGGAGGGGGAUAACUACUGGAAACGGUAGCUAAUACCGCAUACCAUCAGAUGUGCCCAGAUGGGAUUGGCUAGUAGGUGGGGUAAUGGCUCACCUAGGCGCCGAACCCUAGCUGGUCUGAGAGGAUGACCAGCAACACGGGAACGGAGACACGUUCCAGACUCCUACGUGAGGCAGCAGUGGGGAAUAUUGCACAAUGGGAGCAAGCCUGAUGCAGCCAUGCCGCGGGGGUGGAGAAGGCCUACGGGUUGUAAAGCAAUUUCAGCGGGGAGGCGUUACCCGCAGAAGAAGCACCGGCUAACUCCGUGCCAGCCGACGCGGUAAUAC
rnacentral:rRNA from 1 species